GAUCCUAUAGUCAAGUGGUUACGACGAGGCAUUGUGGUUUCGGUGUUCGUCACCUACUGUUCUGCCUAAGCCUGUGUUCGAUUCACAGUAGGGUCA